CGGUCUACACAUGCAGUCGAGCGGUAGAGAGAAGCUUGCUUCUCUUGAGAGCGGCGGACGGGUGAGUAAUGCCUAGGAAUCUGCCUGGUAGUGGGGGAUAACGCUCGGAAACGGACGCUAAUACCGCAUACGUCCUACGGGAGAAAGCAGGGGACCUUCGGGCCUUGCGCUAUCAGAUGAGCCUAGGUCGGAUUAGCUAGUUGGUGAGGUAAUGGCUCACCAAGGCGACGAUCCGUAACUGGUCUGAGAGGAUGAUCAGUCACACUGGAACUGAGACACGGUCCAGACUCCUACGGGAGGCAGCAGUGGGGAAUAUUGGACAAUGGGCGAAAGCCUGAUCCAGCCAUGCCGCGUGUGUGAAGAAGGUCUUCGGAUUGUAAAGCACUUUAAGUUGGGAGGAAGGGCAUUAACCUAAUACGUUAGUGUUUUGACGUUACCGACAGAAUAAGCACCGGCUAACUCUGUGCCAGCAGCCGCGGUAAUACAGAGGGUGCAAGCGUUAAUCGGAAUUACUGGGCGUAAAGCGCGCGUAGGUGGUUUGUUAAGUUGGAUGUGAAAUCCCCGGGCUCAACCUGGGAACUGCAUUCAAAACUGACAAGCUAGAGUAUGGUAGAGGGUGGUGGAAUUUCCUGUGUAGCGGUGAAAUGCGUAGAUAUAGGAAGGAACACCAGUGGCGAAGGCGACCACCUGGACUGAUACUGACACUGAGGUGCGAAAGCGUGGGGAGCAAACAGGAUUAGAUACCCUGGU
rnacentral:rRNA from 1 species